GCAGCACCACUGUCCUCGCCUCUCUCAGGGUGCCUGACCGGCGACGCGCCAAGUCCGGCAGCAGCUCUAAGUUCCUUCAAGGGAAAGGAAUGAACCCUUCAUAUACAGAAACAUGAUUUGAACUCAAGAUAUUUAAUAUAUAUGGAAAGAACUCAACAUCUGGUUGUUAAAAACUUUACGAGACUCCUCCUCAUUUAAACCAGCUCCAUUUAAAAAGGCCAGAACAAACUCAAUGAUUUGUGCAUU